GAUGAACGCUGGCGGCGUGCCUAAUACAUGCAAGUCGAGCGAGCAGACGAGGAGCUUGCUCCUCUGACGUUAGCGGCGGACGGGUGAGUAACACGUGGAUAACCUACCUAUAAGACUGGGAUAACUUCGGGAAACCGGAGCUAAUACCGGAUAAUAUAUUGAACCGCAUGGUUCAAUAGUGAAAGACGGUUUUGCUGUCACUUAUAGAUGGAUCCGCGCCGCAUUAGCUAGUUGGUAAGGUAACGGCUUACCAAGGCAACGAUGCGUAGCCGACCUGAGAGGGUGAUCGGCCACACUGGAACUGCGACACGGUCCAGACUCCUACGGGAGGCAGCAGUAGGGAAUCUUCCGCAAUGGGCGAAAGCUUGACGGAGCAACGCCGCGUGAGUGAUGAAGGUCUUCGGAUCGUAAAACUCUGUUAUUAGGGAAGAACAAAUGUGUAAGUAACUAUGCACGUCUUGACGGUACCUAAUCAGAAAGCCACGGCUAACUACGUG
rnacentral:rRNA from 1 species